GCUGGGGUAGCUCAGUUGGUUAGAGCAUGAGGCUCUUAAUCUCAGGGCCAUGGGUUCAAGCCCCAUGUUGGGCA